GAUGAACGCUGGCGGCGUGCCUAAUACAUGCAAGUCGAGCGAACAGACGAGGAGCUUGCUCCUCUGACGUUAGCGGCGGACGGGUGAGUAACACGUGGAAAACCUACCUAUAAGACUGGCAUAACUUCGGGAAACCGGAGCUAAUACCGGAUAAUAUAUUGAACCGCAUGGUUCAAUAGUGAAAGACGGUUUUGCUGUCACUUAUAGAUGGAUCCGCGCCGCAUUAGCUAGUUGGGAAGGUAACGGCUUACCAAGGCGACGAUGCGUAGCCGACCUGAGAGAGUGAUCGGCCACACGGGAACUGAGACACGGUCCAGACGCCUACGGGAGGCAGCAGUAGGGAAUCUGCCGCAAUGGGCGAAAGCCUGACGGAGCAACGCCGCGUGAGUGAUGAAGGUCUUCGGAUCGUAAAACUCUGUUAUUAGGGAAGAACAAAUGUGUAAGUAACUAUGCACGUCUUGACGGUACCUAAUCAGAAAGCCACGGCUAACUACGUG
rnacentral:rRNA from 1 species